CGCGGGGUGGAGCAGCUCGGUAGCUCGCUGGGCUCAUAACCCAGAGGUCGCAGNNUUCGAAUCCUGUCCCCGCUACCA
rnacentral:tRNA from 1 species